AGUGAACGCUGGCGGUAGGCCUAACACAUGCAAGUCGAACGGCAGCACAGUAAGAGCUUGCUCUUACGGGUGGCGAGUGGCGGACGGGUGAGGAAUACAUCGGAAUCUACUUUUUCGUGGGGGAUAACGUAGGGAAACUUACGCUAAUACCGCAUACGACCUACGGGUGAAAGCAGGGGAUCUUCGGACCUUGCGCGAUUGAAUGAGCCGAUGUCGGAUUAGCUAGUUGGCGGGGUAAAGGCCCACCAAGGCGACGAUCCGUAGCUGGUCUGAGGGGAUGAUCAGCUACACUGGAACUGAGACACGGUCCAGAAUCCUACGGGAGGCAGCAGUGGGGAAUCUUGGAACAUGGGCGCAAGCCUGAUACAGCCAUACCGCGUGGGUGAAGAAGGACUUCGGGUUGUAAAGCCCUUUUGUUGGGAAAGAAAAGCAGCAGGUUAAUACCCAGCUGUUCUGACGGUACCCAAAGAAUAAGCACCGGCUAACUUCGUG
rnacentral:rRNA from 1 species